rnacentral:rRNA from 1 species
GAUUAACGCUAGCGGGAUGCCUAAUACAUGCAAGUCGAACGAAGUAUUUAUACUUAGUGGCGAACGGGUGAGUAACACGUAUCCAACAUACCCAUAAGAGGGGGAUAACUAGUUGAAAAACUAGCUAAUACCCCAUAGCAUAUUUUUACAUAAGUAUUAAUAUUUAAAGUUGCGUUUACAACACUUUUGGAUUGGGGUGCGACGUAUUAGAUUGUUGGUGAGGUAAUGGCUCACCAAGUCGAUGAUGCGUAGCUGUGCUGAGAGGCAGAACAGCCACAAUGGGACUGAGACACGGCCCAUACUUCUACGGAAGGCAUCUGUAGGGAAUUUUCCACAAUGGGCGAAAGCCUGAUGGAGCAAUCCCGCGUGAACGAUGAAGGUCCUACAAGAUUGUAAAGUUCUUUUAUUGGGGAAGAAAUGUAAGAAAAUGAAAUGUUUUUUAUUUGACGGUACCCUUUGAAUAAGUAUCGGCUAACUAUGUGCCAGCAGCCGCGGUAAUACAUAGGAUGCAGGCGUUAUCCGGAUUUACUGGGCGUAAAGCGAGCGCAGGCUGAUUUACUAGUCUGAUGUUAAAGACGACUGCUUAACGGUUGUUUUGCAUUUGGAAACUGUAAAUCUAGAGUAUAGUAGAAAGCUUUUGGAACUCCAUGUGGAGCGGUGGAAUGCGUAGAUAUAUGGAAGAACACCAGAGGCGAAGGCUAAAACUUAGGCUAUAACUGACGCUUAGGCUCGAAAGUGUGGGGAGCAAAUAGG